GUCCCCAUCGUCUAGAGGCCUAGGACACCGCCCUUUCACGGCGGCAACACGGGUUCGAAUCCCGUUGGGGACGCCA
rnacentral:tRNA from 4 species